rnacentral:rRNA from 1 species
UACGUAGGCGGAAAAUUAAGUCAGUAGUGAAAUCCUGCAGCUUAACUGUAGAACUGUUAUUGAUACUGGUUUUCUUGAAUAUAGUUGAGGUAGGCGGAAUGUGUAAUGUAGCGGUGAAGUGCUUAGAUAUUACACAGAACACCGAUUGCGGAGGCAGCUUACUAAGCUAUGAUUGACGCUGAGGUACGAAAGCGUGGGGAGCGAACAGGAUUAGAUACCCUGGUAGUCC